rnacentral:rRNA from 1 species
GACGAACGCUGGCGGCGUGCCUAAUACAUGCAAGUAGAACGCUGAAGGAGGAGCUUGCUCUUCUGGAUGAGUUGCGAACGGGUGAGUAACGCGUAGGUAACCUGCCUGGUAGCGGGGGAUAACUAUUGGAAACGAUAGCUAAUACCGCAUAAGAGUAGAUGUUGCAUGACAUUUACUUAAAAGGUGCAAUUGCAUCACUACCAGAUGGACCUGCGUUGUAUUAGCUAGUUGGUGGGGUAACGGCUUACCAAGGCGACGAUACAUAGCCGACCUGAGAGGGUGAUCGGCAACACUGGGACUGAGACACGGCCCAGACUCCUACGGGAGGAAGCAGUAGGGAAUCUUCGGCAAUGGACGGAAGUCUGACCGAGCAACGCCGCGUGAGUGAAGAAGGUUUUCGGAUCGUAAAGCUCUGUUGUAAGAGAAGAACGAGUGUGAGAGUGGAAAGUUCACACUGUGACGGUAUCUUACCAGAAAGGGACGGCUAACUACGUG